CAGUAGCCGCGGGAAUACGAAGGGGGCUAGCGUUGCUCGGAAUCACUGGGCGUAAAGGGUGCGUAGGCGGGUCUUUAAGUCAGGGGUGAAAUCCUGGAGCUCAACUCCAGAACUGCCUUUGAUACUGAAGAUCUUGAGUUCGGGAGAGGUGAGUGGAACUGCGAGUGUAGAGGUGAAAUUCGUAGAUAUUCGCAAGAACACCAGUGGCGAAGGCGGCUCACUGGCCCGAUACUGACGCUGAGGCACGAAAGCGUGGGGGGCAAACAGGAUUAGAUACCCCCGUAGUCCCUGUCUCUUAUAC
rnacentral:rRNA from 1 species